CCGAAUCCGGACCCCAAAUCACCUCGGAUUCGGUACACUAAUCUUUCUAUUACUGUUUGCGGAAGAUAUAAACAUAAAUUGUUUAUACAUUACAUUAUACAUUAUUCCCCAAGGUCGAGUAACCUUAACUUAUACACAUUUCAUAAACUAUUUAUUACAUAACAAUAUUAUCACAAUACGCUAUUACAAACUAGCUGCACUUUAUAACCCAAGCUGAACUUGGCUUUAAUCGUUUCCUGUAUCCGAACGCUUUUGCCUUAUCUGCAAUGUUUUAUCAUGAUAUAGCAAGGGUGAGCAUGAAAGUUGCCCAGCAAGUUUAAAUACAACAAUAUAAGGAUAUAUCAUGAUUGAAGAGUAUGAAUAAUAAGCUGGCUAUAAUUCAUCAAU
rnacentral:lncRNA from 1 species